AUGACCAUAACCCGUUGUGGAUGUCAGACACUAACCGAGUCUGAGCCAGCGGUCAUUAAACCUGGGGGAUCUCAUCAACUCACCUGUACCUACUCUGGGAUUAGUGAUGAUGAUGCAGCUAUAGCUUGGAUUAGACAGGCUCAAGGAAAAGGUCUUGAGUGGAUCUCAAGCAUUUCUGCUCCAAGUGGUAGCAAGAAGUACUACUCUCAGUCUGUUCAGGGAAGAUUCACCAUCUCCAGAGACAACAGCAAGAAACAGGGGUAUCUGCACAUGACCAGCCUAAAAACUGAAGAUACAGCUGUGUAUUAUUGUGCUCGGUGGACUCACAGUAACACAAUCAACUGCAGUGAUGUACAAAAACUUUAA